UUGUGGUACUAGGCUAACAACAAGUAGGGCGGGACACGUGAUAUCCUGUUUGAAGAUGGGGGGACCAUCCUCCAAGGCUAAAUACUCCUGAUUGACCGAUAGUGAACCAGUACUGUGAAGGAAAGGCGAAAAGAACCCCGGCGAGGGGAGUGAAAUAGAACCUGAAACCUUGUGCGUACAAGCAGUGGGAGCAGAUUUAUUCUGUGACUGCGUACCUUUUGUAUAAUGGGUCAGCGACUUAUAUUUUGUAGCAAGGUUAACUGAAUAAGGGAGCCGUAGGGAAACCGAGUCUUAACUGGGCGAAUAGUUGCAAGGUAUAGACCCGAAACCCGGUGAUCUAGCCAUGGGCAGGUUGAAGGUUGGGUAACACUAACUGGAGGACCGAACCGACUAAUGUUGAAAAAUUAGCGGAUGACUUGUGGCUGGGGGUGAAAGGCCAAUCAAACCGGGAGAUAGCUGGUUCUCCCCGAAAUCUAUUUAGGUAGAGCCUUGAGCGGACACCUUCGGGGGUAGAGCACUGUUUCGGCUAGGGGUCCAUCCCGGAUUACCAACCCGAUGCAAACUGCGAAUACCGAAGAGUGAUACUCAGGAGACACACGGUGGGUGCUAACGUCCAUCGUGGAGAGGGAAACAACCCAGACCGCCAGCUAAGGUCCCAAAGUCUAUAUUAAGUGGGAAACGAAGUGGGAAGGCUUAGACAGCUAGGAUGUUGGCUUAGAAGCAGCCACCAUUUAAAGAAAGCGUAAUAGCUCACUAGUCGAGUCGGCCUGCGCGGAAGAUGUAACGGGGCUCAAAUAUAGCACCGAAGCUGCGGCAUCAGUCGAAAGACUGUUGGGUAGGGGAGCGUCGUGUAAGCGGAUGAAGGUGGAUUGAGAAGUCUGCUGGACGUAUCACGAGUGCGAAUGCUGACAUAAGUAACGAUAAAACGAGUGAAAAACUCGUUCGCCGGAAGACUAAGGGUUCCUGUCCAACGUUAAUCGGGGCAGGGUGAGUCGGCCCCUAAGGCGAGGCUGAAAAGCGUAGUCGAUGGGAAACGGGUUAAUAUUCCCGUACUUGUAAUAACUGCGAUGUGGGGACGGAGAAGGUUAGGUUAGC
rnacentral:rRNA from 1 species